ACGUAGGGGGCAAGCGUUGUCCGGAAUGAUUGGGCGUAAAGGGCGCGUAGGCGGCCUGGUAAGUCUGGAGUGAAAGUCCUGCUUUUAAGGUGGGAAUUGCUUUGGAUACUGUCGGGCUUGAGUGCAGGAGAGGUAAGUGGAAUUCCCGGUGCAGCGGUGAAAUGCGUAGAGAUCGGGAGGGACACGAGUGGGGGUGGCGACUUACUGGGCUGAAACUGACGUUGAGGCGCGUAAGUGUGGGGAGCAAACAG
rnacentral:rRNA from 1 species